CAGCCAGAGCCUUUCCUUGGGGCCACUGAUCACCCUUUAUUGGCAGAAGCCCAUCCUCUAGUCUGGGUUGGUGAGGGCAUGGAUUUCAGAUCUGGAAAGUGAUGGAGGACGACUGAAACUUAAACUUCUUCUCCUCUAACAUGACAUUUUAGUGUCAUAUUUAGAGCCUUUUAGAAGAGAAAAACCGUACUUGUUUUUAUUAUGAUUAACUGGGGUCAGUGAGGUAAAGGCCUUUCCUUACUAUGACACCCAUUUUUUUCAGCCUGCUGGGUGAGGCCCCUGCCUCCUCUUCAACUGCCCAUGACUCCAAUUCCAGGAUGGGUUUCCAGCCUCUCUGACAAUAGGGAAUGUUGCUGGCUGCAAGACGCUGUCUCUACGGGGGCUUAGCAGGCUGGCCCGCUGUCAUGGACAGUGUAGUCCAGGGAAGGCCAGGCUGGCCAGGGUUCCUACCCUAACAGGAGAACCAAACUGAGAUCUUGAUUGCAGGCCCAUCCAGACCCUGACCUCUCCCAGGCUCCCAGGCUGGGCCCUCCCCAUGCCCCAUGGCUCUGUCCUGGGGCCAGGGCAGGUCUCACACUUGAGUCCUGGGAGCAGUGAGGCUGGGAAGGUGCCUCAGGGGGAUAUCAGCCCCACCCUCCUCCCUGCCCUCCUCUGCUGCCUGCCCCCUACAACUGGGCCUUUCUCUCUCUGGCUCCCCUCUCCCUUAGCUCAGUGUCUUUUGGGGACCUCUGGGUUCUCUCACUUCUCCCCCAGGCCCAGCCUGUCCUGCACCCCCUCCUCUCCUGCCUGUCGGGACCAUUCCUGUUCUGCUCCUCUUUCCUGGAGCCCUUCCAAGGGGUCUUGGACCCAACCUUUGACCUCAGACAAGGCCCGUAGGCAGGGCUGGGACAUUAGAGUCUAGCAGCCUUGGCCACCAUCAAGGCCAGGCCUAUCUGCUCAUCAACAGGUCCUGUCCUUCCCCUCUUCACGCUGGCUGGCCUGAGGGGGUGCCUGGAAGAGAGGGGGCUCUCAACUCAUGUCAACCUGGGGGGAGGUACUCCCCCACCCCAGGGCCUGGCUCCUUCUGCCAAGAACAUGUGCCUUCAGGACACAGGCCCGCCCAGGCCCCUCACCCUGCGGGGUCUCCCCAGCCUGAGUGAGUUAGCAUUGUGCUUGAGGCCACCAGGGAGACCAGGGCAGCCAGCGCAGAUGAUGCAGGGCAGGAGCGUGGUGGCCUUGACACAGCUGGGGGGAGGGACGAGGGAUGGGCACCUCGGGUGGAAAGGGGGGCCAGCUUGGCCAGGGGGUGUGCUCGUGCCCAGACUCCCUGGACAUGCUCUUCCCUCUCAGGGUCACAGGCUUUGCUCAGCCCAGCCCCACAGAGCGGGCAGCUGGGGCCAGGGAUAGGGGUCGUAUCCUUUGGCCUUGGGUAGAACAAGACGCAGAGCCAAGGGGCUGUGGGGGACUUGGAAGGAAGGACAGCCCAGCUGCCCCAGGAAGCAGACUUCCCUGAAGGAGCCCCAGAAGGCCCAGUCCCCCCACCUCGACCAGCAGCCACACAGGUCUGGCUCCUCCUGAGACACUAUCACUGAAGUAGGUCUUGCGGCUGACCCCACUGCCUGGGGGGUUUGGAGGAGUAAGUGCUCUUUCUCCCCUGUGGGAUGACAUAAACUGGGUUGCUUCACCGGCCUUCUCCACCCCCAGGAUGCUCCUGGAUUGUCCCAUGACUGGGUGAACCGGCACACUGGCCCAGGCCCACCCAGGCACCUUGGAGGAAGGUCUCCGACGUGAGUGGGAAUACCCUUGCUUCCAGGGUUCACACAGAUCACUCCCAG